rnacentral:rRNA from 1 species
CCUACGGGUGGCAGCAGUGAGGAAUAUUGGUCAAUGGACGAGAGUCUGAACCAGCCAAGUAGCGUGAAGGAUGACUGCCCUAUGGGUUGUAAACUUCUUUUAUAUGGGAAUAAAAUGUUCCACGUGUGGGAUUUUGUAUGUACCAUAUGAAUAAGGAUCGGCUAACUCCGUGCCAGCAGCCGCGGUAAUACGGAGGAUCCGAGCGUUAUCCGGAUUUAUUGGGUUUAAAGGGAGCGUAGGUGGAUUGUUAAGUCAGUUGUGAAAGUUUGCGGCUCAACCGUAAAAUUGCAGUUGAAACUGGCAGUCUUGAGUACAGUAGAGGUGGGCGGAAUUCGUGGGGUAGCGGUGAAAUGCUGAGAUAUCACGAAGAACUCCGAUUGCGAAGGCAGUUCACUGGACUGCAACUGACACUGAGGCUCGAAAGUGUGGGUAUCAAACAGGAUUAGAUACCCUUGUAGUC